AUUGAACGCUGGCGGCAGGCUUAACACAUGCAAGUCGGACGGUAACAGGUCUUUCGGGACGCUGACGAGUGGCGGACGGGUGAGUAAUGCUUGGGAAUCUGUUUGUUAGUGGGGGAUAACUCGGGGAAACCAGGGCUAAUACCGCAUACGUCUUUAGGGGGAAAGCAGGGGAUCGUAAGACCUUGCGCUAAUGAGUGAGCCCAAGUCGGAUUAGUUUGUUGGUGAGGUAAGGGCUCACCAAGACUGCGAUCCGUAGCUGGUCUGAGAGGAUGAUCAGCCACACUGGGACUGAGACACGGCCCAGACUCCUACGGGAGGCAGCAGUGGGGAAUAUUGGACAAUGGGCGCAAGCCUGAUCCAGCCAUGCCGCGUGUGUGAAGAAGGUCUUAUGAUUGUAAAGCACUUUAAGUCAGGAGGAAGGUGCGAGGGCUAAUAUCUCUUGUGA
rnacentral:rRNA from 1 species